rnacentral:rRNA from 1 species
UCGGAAUUACUGGGCGUAAAGCGCGCGUAGGCGGCUUUGCAAGUCUGUUGUGAAAUCCCCGGGCUUAACUGGGAACUGCAGUCGAGACUGUCUAGCUAGAGUAUGGGAGAGGGAAGUGGAAUUUCAGGUGUAGCGGUGAAAUGCGUAGAUAUCUGAAGGAACAUCAGUGGCGAAAGCGACUUCCUGGACCAAUACUGACGCUCAUGUGCGAAAGCGUGGGGAGCAAACAGG